AUGCUGACUUUGCAUGAGGUCCUCCACCACACUCAUGUAAAAAAGAGAACCGGGGUUGUGCUUAAACUCGAUUUCGAGAAAGCGUACGACAAAGUCAAUUGGGACUUCCUUCUUGAAUGCCAUAGACUUAGGGGCUUCGGAGAUAAGUGGUGCUCCUGGGUUGAUCAAGUUUUACGAAACGAGACAGUGAAUGUUAAGAUUAACAACACGGUAGGGCCGUAUUUCCAAAGCUUUAAGGGGGUUCGUCAGGGAGACCCUAUGUCCCCCUUUUUGUUCAAUCUAGCAGCUGAAUGUUUAUCCAAAAUGGUUUUCAAUGCUCAAAAGAAUAAUCUGCUCAAAGGGCUCGCGGCUGACCUCGUUCCAGGGUGUGUCUAUCCUUCAAUAUGCUGA
rnacentral:rRNA from 1 species